UUAUGUUCCAGUGUUCAUUGUUUUACCACUAAUGUCAUGAAGCUGGUUACACCUCGAAAGGCUGUCCGAAUCUAUUCAGUGAAUUGAUGGGAGAUGUAAAGCCACAUGAGCAAUGCAUUCCGCAAGCUGUGACAUGCGAUGAAAAGGAACUCUUUAAGGGUUCUGUGGGUUCUGUGGGAAACACUUUAACAAUUUUGAUAUAGUUGUUCUUCAGGUUACAGGAAAAGAUGUACCUCAAUACAUAACAUUAUUUGAAGAAGCCUUGGCCUGCGCCAACUACUACUUAAAAACAUUAAGAAUUCUGGCUACAUAAAACCAACACCUGUUCAGAAAGCUUCAGUUGCAGUUAUUCUUGCCAAAAGAGAUUUAAUUGCUUGUGCCGUUACGGGCUCCGGCAAAACGGCGGCGUACUUGGUACUGGUUAUGAACAUAUUGUUAGAACAAGGUGUUGUUGGUGCGUCACAUAUCAUGGUUCAAAAGACAGAAGUUGUAAUUGUCGCACUUCCUCGUGAAUUAUCC